rnacentral:rRNA from 1 species
CCUACGGGAGGCAGCAGUGGGGAAUAUUGGGCAAUGGGCGAAAGCCUGAUGCAGCAACGCCGCGUGAGCGAUGAAGGCCUUCGGGUCGUAAAGCUCUGUCCUCAAGGAAGAUAAUGACGGUACUUGAGGAGGAAGCCACGGCUACCUACGUGACAGAAGCCGCGGUAAUACGUAGGGGGCUAGGGUAAUCCGGAAUUACGGGGCGUAAAGGGUGCGUAGGUGGUUUCUUAAGUCGGAGGUGAAUGGCUACGGCUCAACCGUAGUAAGCCUUUGAAACUGGGGAACGUGAGUGCAGGAGAGGGGAGUGGAAUUCCUGGGGUAGCGGUGAAAUGCGUAGAUAGUGGGAGGAACACCAGUUGCGAAGGCGGCUCUCUGGACUGUAACUGACACUGAGGCACGAAAGCGUGGGGAGCAAACAGGAUUAGAUACCCCUGUAGUC